rfam:Picea glauca, whole genome shotgun sequence.
GGGGUGGUGGCGCAGUUGGUUAACACGUAGGUAUCAUAGCUUGCACUGAGGAAUCCUGAGGUCGAGAGUUUGAGCCUCUCUCACCCCA